rnacentral:rRNA from 1 species
UACGUAGGGGGCAAGCGUUGUCCGGAUUUAUUGGGCGUAAAGAGCGUGUAGGCGGCCAGGGAGGUCCGUUGUGAAAACUCGAGGCUCAACCUCGAGACGCCGAUGGAAACCCCCUGGCUAGAGUCCGGAAGAGGAGAGUGGAAUUCCUGGUGUAGCGGUGAAAUGCGCAGAUAUCAGGAGGAACACCAAUGGCGAAGGCAGCGCGCUGGGACGGUACUGACGCUGAGACGCGAAAGCGUGGGGAGCGAACCGG